AACGCGAAGAACCUUACCUGGUCUUGACAUCCUAGGAACCCUUCAGAGAUGAGGGGGUGCCUUCGGGAACCUGGAGACAGGUGCUGCAUGGCUGUCGUCAGCUCGUGUCGUGAGAUGUUGGGUUAAGUCCCGCAACGAGCGCAACCCUUGUCCUUAGUUGCCAUCAUUUAGUUGGGAACUCUAAUGAGACUGCCUGGGUUAACCAGGAGGAAGGUGAGGAUGACGUCAAGUCCGCAUGGCCCUUAUGUCUGGGGCUACACACGUGCUACAAUGGUCGGCACAGAAGGCAGCUAAGCCGCGAGGCAGUGCAAAUCCCAAAAGCCGAUCUCAGUUCAGAUUGUAGUCUGCAACUCGACUACAUGAAGACGGAAUUGCUAGUAAUGGCGUGUCAGCAACAACGCCGUGAAUACGUUCCCGGGCUUGUACACACCGCGCAUA
rnacentral:rRNA from 1 species